AACGAACGCUGGCGGCAGGCUUAACACAUGCAAGUCGAACGGGUGUAGCAAUACAUCAGUGGCAGACGGGUGAGUAACACGUGGGAACCUUCCUAGGGGUACGGAACAACUCAGGGAAACUUGAGCUAAUACCGUAUACGUCCGUAAGGAGAAAGAUUCAUCGCCCCUAGACGGCCCGCGUCGGAUAGUAGUUGGUGGGUAACGGCCUACCAAGCCUACCGAUCCGUAGCUGAUCUGAGAGGAUGAUCAGCCA
rnacentral:rRNA from 1 species